UCGGGGUGUGGGAGUGGUAU
rnacentral:miRNA from 1 species